AUGAACGCUAGCGACAGGCUUAACACAUGCAAGUCGAGGGGCAGCACAGGUAGCAAUACCGGGUGGCGACCGGCGCACGGGUGAGUAACGCGUAUGCAACUUACCUAUCAGAGGGGGAUAACCCGGCGAAAGUCGGACUAAUACCGCAUGAAGCAGGGGCCCCGCAUGGGGAUAUUUGCUAAAGAUUUAUCGCUGAUAGAUAGGCAUGCGUUCCAUUAGGCAGUUGGCGGGGUAACGGCCCACCAAACCGACGAUGGAUAGGGGUUCUGAGAGGAAGGUCCCCCACAUUGGUACUGAGACACGGACCAAACUCCUACGGGAGGCAGCAGUGAGGAAUAUUGGUCAAUGGGCGCGAGCCUGAACCAGCCAAGUCGCGUGAGGGAUGAAGGUUCUAUGGAUCGUAAACCUCUUUUAUAAGGGAAUAAAGUGCGGGACGUGUCCCGUUUUGUAUGUACCUUAUGAAUAAGGAUCGGCUAACUCCGUGCCAGCAGCCGCGGUAAUACGGAGGAUCCGAGCGUUAUCCGGAUUUAUUGGGUUUAAAGGGUGCGUAGGCGGCCUUUUAAGUCAGCGGUGAAAGUCUGUGGCUCAACCAUAGAAUUGCCGUUGAAACUGGGGGGCUUGAGUAUGUUUGAGGCAGGCGGAAUGCGUGGUGUAGCGGUGAAAUGCUUAGAUAUCACGCAGAACCCCGAUUGCGAAGGCAGCCUGCCAAGCCAUGACUGACGCUGAUGCACGAAAGCGUGGGGAUCAAACAGGAUUAGAUACCCUGGUAGUCCACGCAGUAAACGAUGAUCACUAGCUGUUUGCGAUACAGUGUAAGCGGCACAGCGAAAGCGUUAAGUGAUCCACCUGGGGAGUACGCCGGCAACGGUGAAACUCAAAGGAAUUGACGGGGGCCCGCACAAGCGGAGGAACAUGUGGUUUAAUUCGAUGAUACGCGAGGAACCUUACCCGGGUUUGAACGCAUUCGGACCGAGGUGGAAACACCUUUUCUAGCAAUAGCCGUUUGCGAGGUGCUGCAUGGUUGUCGUCAGCUCGUGCCGUGAGGUGUCGGCUUAAGUGCCAUAACGAGCGCAACCCUUGCCACUAGUUACUAACAGGUAAAGCUGAGGACUCUGGUGGGACUGCCAGCGUAAGCUACGAGGAAGGCGGGGAUGACGUCAAAUCAGCACGGCCCUUACAUCCGGGGCGACACACGUGUUACAAUGGCGUGGACAAAGGGAUGCCACCUGGCGACAGGGAGCGAAUCCCCAAACCACGUCUCAGUUCGGAUCGGAGUCUGCAACCCGACUCCGUGAAGCUGGAUUCGCUAGUAAUCGCGCAUCAGCCAUGGCGCGGUGAAUACGUUCCCGGGCCUUGUACACACCGCCCGUCAAGCCAUGGGAGCCGGGGGUACCUGAAGUCCGUAACCGCGAGGAUCGGCCUAGGGUAAAACUGGUGACUGGGGCU
rnacentral:rRNA from 1 species